AGCGCGCAGGCCCCGGCGGGCGUUUUGUGCCCGCGGGCCGGACUCUGGCUCUGGUCCCUCGGCGUUUGUCGGAGGCUGGUGACCUGGUCUUUCAGCAGCUCAGGUGACGAUUUGCACCAGCCUGAGCUGCGGGGGAGUUGCCACCCGUCUGCGGAAUCCUGAGGAUGAUGAAAGGCGGCACAUGUCUGCAUCCCCCCUGACUCGGACCUGGAGCGGAGGUCCCGGGUUGGAAUCGGAAGUCGCCCACCCCGAGUGUGGUGGGAAGUCCCUCAGCCAGGACGACCUACGAUGAGGUCGGCUCUGGCGAUUUGAUCUAAAACAUCAGCCCUUCUGGUUCUUGAGGCUGCUGGUCUUCAGACUGGAACUACACCGUUGGCUCUCCUGGGUCUCCAGCUUGCCAGCUCAUCCUGCACAUCUUGGGACUUGUCAGCCUCCAUAGUAGUGUGAGCCAAUUCCACAUAAUAAAUCUCUUUAUAAAUAUACACACACACAUCCUAUUGGCUCUAUUUCUUUUGGAGACCCCGAUGAAGACACAGCUCAUCUGUAGGGAAUGUGGUUAUCAAACAGCCUCUAGCAGUUGGCUCCUUCAGGCUGCACAGAGCCACUUUUCUUGAGGUCAAAUCUAUCCCAGAGUAGCUUCUAUCAGGUGACUGAGAGAGUGGGACUAGAAAAGCCCAGCCAUUUUGGCCCAACAGGGUCCCCUCUGACAGGCAAUAAGAGAUCCAGAGCUCCCCACUGGGUUGGCUAAGACGUCACAGUUUGACUUCUUCCUCUGCCCAGUCCUGCUUCUGCACCCUUCUUCUUACAGGUGUUGAUCACUAAUAAAUACCUUGCACCCCAGAUUCCAUCUCAGCUUCUGACUUCAGAGAAUCCAACCUGGAAAACCCACAUCACAUUCCCUCAGUCACAUAGAACUGCAAGAGAAGCUGUGGAACAGACUUAUUCCAGAGGGCCAUGUGCCCACUGUAAAAUAGGGAGUUCCACUACUAAUGAAAAAGGGGAUGCCAUAGAAGCUCAGGGGGCCCAGGGGGUCGCAGUGAGGGGUCAAAGGUUCAGAAAGGGGCAGAGGCAGGUAAAAGAUGUUUCAGGCACUUGGAAAAUGUGGGUUUUGUUUUACCACAUCAAAAUUAAGUAUUUGUGGUUCUGGUUUCCAGUGACAGCAGAUAAGUUCAGUCAGACUAACCCUCUCAUGAAUAACAAUUACACUAUCUGGAAAAAAGUAUUCUAAAAAGACAAUUCUUUGAAAGCACUGGCAAGUGACCAAACGUCGGCAGAAACUGGAGGUAAGCACCCUUGAAAAACAACUGUAACUGGUGAGGUUGGUGUAUCUGCGGCCUUUUGCUGAGAGCACUCCCCAACCUGCAAGCAGCUCUGGUGGAGAAAAGAAACAGCUGCACUAUUCUGAGGUGUCAGAAAACUGAAUUUGGGGCUGGCUGAGCAACCAAAGAGAGGAGAAAUCCUGGAAAGAAGAGAAUCACAAAGAGGGUGAUCCCCAAAAUUUGUAGAAAAGAAAUCCCCCCAAACGCUUGUUUGACUGCUAACCUACACACGCACAGGGUCAACACCGGCAACCCAGAAAAAAAAAGCAGCAGCUAGAACGUGAAAGAACUGGGUGAGGAUGUCAGCUUUGGCCCACUGCUGAAGAGAGAAUUUGGAGUUGAAGUCUAGCCAAGUUAGCUUCCUGUUAGAAAAAAACGUUCUUCAAAGGGACAUAACAGAAUCUAGAAUCCUGAAAUAUGUCAUUUAUAAUGUCCAGUAUCCAACAAAAAAUAGCAGACAAGUGAAGAAAUGGGAAAUGUGACUCAUAAGUCAGUCAAUAAAAACCUCCCCAAGGUGACACACAUGUUAAAAUUAGCAGACGAGAAUUUUAACGCAGCUGUUAUUACAGUUUCAAAGACAUAAAGAAAAAUGUAUACAAAUGAGAUACCACUACAUACGUACUAAAAUAGCUAAAAUUAAACAGACUGACAAUACUAAGUGGUGUUGAGGACGCAGGGCAACUGGAACUUAGAUACACUGCAGGUUAGAGUGUAAAAUGGGACAAGCACUUUGAGAAAAGGGUUGACAGUUUCUUAUCAAAUUAUACUUGCCGUAUGACCCAUCCAUUCCACUCCUAGGUAUUUAUCCAAGAGUGGUAUUUAUUUAAGAAACAAAUGUUCACAAAAAGUCUUGUAGAUGAAUGUUCACAGACUCCUAAUUUAUAAGAGCCAAAAGCUGGAAACAACUCAAAUGUCCAUCAAUAGGUGAGUGGAUUAAUAAAUUGUGGUAUAUUCAUGGAAUAUUCAAUGGAAUAUUACUUAGCAAUCACAAAUAACAAACUCCUGAUACAUACAACAUGUACGAAUCUCAAAAACAUGAUGCUGAACAAAAAAAGCCCGGCAUAAAAAAGUAUAUAUUGUAUUAUUCUACUUAUAGGAAAGUCUAAAAUAAGGAAAAACUAAUUUUUAUUGAUACAAAGCAGAUCUGUGGUUGCCUGGGGCCAGAGCAAUAGAGAGAGUCAAUGCAAAGGGGCACGCAAUAAAUUUUUGAGGUGAUGAAAAUGUUCUGUGUGUUAAUUAUGAUGAUGAUUACAUGAGCGCAUACAUUUUCAAACUCAUCAAACUGUAUACUUAAAGUGGGUUCAUUUUAUUAUAUGUGAAUUAUACCUCAAUAAAAAUUAUUUUAAUUUUUUUAAAGUAAAAUGAAAGCAAAAUAAAGACUAUCUCAGAUCAACAAAAACAGAGAAUCAUCACCACCAGACCUGUACUACAAGAAAUACUAAGGAAAGUUCUUCAGACUAAAGGAAAAUGACACCAAGUAAUCUACAGGAAGGAAAGAAGAGCACCAGAAAUGGCUUCUUGGUAUGGAAGAAAGGUGCUAGAGAAGAGAUUAAACAAAAGCUCUUUAAUCUUGAAUUUGAAUUGUAAGUAUCAAUACGUACUCGAAGUAUUUUAUCCCAUGUGUGUAUAUAUGUGUGCAUAAGUAUGUAUGUAGGUGUGUGUGUAUAUACACUAUAUAUACAUAUAGUCUCCUAGCUCUGUCCACUGAAAAGGCUUAGCUGCCGUCUUGAAAUAUAAGUUCUCAUUUAAAAAGCCCAAGGAUUCUUUGAGAAAUGGCUGACUCCAGUCUGAGGCAACAAGUGUACAAGAUGACCCAGGAAUAUUUUGUUAUAUCAAAUAGCAAGGAAAACUAUCAAAGAUUACUAGGGUCAUCUCAAAAGGACUCAGGAGCCAAUCUGGUGAGACUCCACUAGCCAAAGUGGGGGCAGUUGGCACUUCAAUAAUGACAACAAUUCCAACUGAUUGAAACCCAUCAAAAAUAUAUAAAUCCAUAAGAUCAUAAUGAUAUUUUUUUAAAUGGCCACCUUUUGAGGAUGAUAGGAAUCCAAUCCAUUAUCUUGAAAACUGGUGGAAAAGGAAAGAAUCAAGCACUUAUUCUGCCUUUCCUAUGUGAACUAUGCACUCAGAAACCAAGUAGAUAAGGUUUCUCCUUACAAAAAUAUUUCAACUAAUAAAUAAAAUGAAAUUAUAGAAUUAAUGGCACCACUUUGCAAUCCUCAAUGAAUUAAGGGAUACAAGUAAUAAGCAUCGACACCUGAAAAAAAUCAUGAGCAUAGAGACAAUUAGAUUUAUAUGCCUUUUAUAGUCUUGCCAAAGUGAUCAAAU